GACGAACGCUGGCGGCGUGCUUAACACAUGCAAGUCGAACGGUGAAGCGCCUUCCUUUUUGGUGGGUGUGGAUGAGUGGCGAACGGGUGAGUAACACGUGAGUAACCUGCCCCCUUCUUCUGGAUAACCGCAUGAAAGUGUGGCUAAUACGGGAUAUUCUGGGUCUGUCGCAUGAUGGGUCUGGGAAAGAUAUUGUUUCGGUGGGGGAUGGGCUCUCGGCCUAUCAGCUUGUUGGUGGGGUGAUGGCCUACCAAGGCGGUGACGGGUAGCCGGCCUGAGAGGGUGGACGGUCACACUGGGACUGAGACACGGCCCAGACUCCUACGGGAGGCAGCAGUGGGGAAUAUUGCACAAUGGGCGCAAGCCUGAUGCAGCGACGCCGCGUGAGGGAUGGAGGCCUUCGGGUUGUGAACCUCUUUCGCCAGUGAAGCAGGCCUGCCUCGUUUGUGGGUGGGUUGACGGUAGCUGGAGAAGAAGCGCCGGCUAACUACGUG
rnacentral:rRNA from 1 species